UGGGGAAUUUUGGACAAUGGGCGAAAGCCUGAUCCAGCAAUGCCGCGUGUGUGAAGAAGGCCUUCGGGUUGUAAAGCACUUUUGUCCGGAAAGAAAUCCUUGGCUCUAAUACAGUCGGGGGAUGACGGUACCGGAAGAAUAAGCACCGGCUAACUACGUGCCAGCAGCCGCGGUAAUACGUAGGGUGCAAGCGUUAAUCGGAAUUACUGGGCGUAAAGCGUGCGCAGGCGGUUUGCUAAGACCGAUGUGAAAUCCCCGGGCUCAACCUGGGAACUGCAUUGGUGACUGGCAGGCUAGAGUAUGGCAGAGGGGGGUAGAAUUCCACGUGUAGCAGUGAAAUGCGUAGAGAUGUGGAGGAAUACCGAUGGCGAAGGCAGCCCCCUGGGCCAAUACUGACGCUCAUGCACGAAAGCGUGGGGAGCAAAACAGGAUUAGAUACCCUGGUAGUCCACGCCCUAAAACGAUGUCAACUAGUUGUUGGGGAUUCAUUUCCUUAGUAACGUAGCUAACGCGUGAAGUUGACCGCCUGGGGAGU
rnacentral:rRNA from 1 species